rnacentral:rRNA from 1 species
UACGUAGGGUGCGAGCGUUAAUCGGAAUUACUGGGCGUAAAGCGUGCGCAGGCGGUUAUGUAAGACAGAUGUGAAGUCCCCGGGCUCAACCUGGGACCUGCAUUUGUGACUGCAUAGCUAGAGUACGGUAGAGGGGGAUGGAAUUCCGCGUGUAGCAGUGAAAUGCGUAGAUAUGCGGAGGAACACCGAUGGCGAAGGCAAUCCCCUGGACCUGUACUGACGCUCAUGCACGAAAGCGUGGGGAGCAAACAGG